AGCGACCAGACCUGUGAGAGAUCUGGAAUCGAAGACAACUACCGUCGUUAGAUCAGGCUUGUUUAUAGCUGAAAUAGGGCUCACCGGAAACCCAGAAAAACUCUAUCUCACGUGACCUUAUCACAAAGCCACGAUUGGACGUAAUCCACCCUUAGCAAGCAGAACAUGGGGACAAUUGCCGUGCAAAUAAUAACCAAUCAGGAUGGUGGACAGAAAGGUCCAAGGUAGCUGAAGGCUAGAUGUUAGCAGCUUCGUUAUCAUUUAUGAUUGAAUGCCCGAGGGAGAGGUUUCACUACAAUAGCCUCACACCAGUCUUUGUGUCGAAGAUAAAACAGACGACACAGAAAAGUAAUUGUAGUGAAAGGACUGGAAAAACGGUUGGUCCUAAAGCUGGCACAAAAAUCGCCAUUAAAGAGAAACUGCACGAACAGAAUAACGUCGGGGUAACCAAAAUGUAGUGGAGUCACCAAAAUGUGGUGGAGUAAUGUUGUAUGUUUGUGUUUGCGUGUGAGUAAACAAAGUGAUAACUAUGUUCAACUAUAACAUAUUUUAUUUGCUGCAUUGAACUCUGGUGUUAGUAAAUAUUCUUCACCACUACAUUAAAUUUUGGCAACUUACUUUGAGUUGCUAGGAAAAAUGAAACCAGGGUACAUCUGUGGAGUUGAUGUAUCCGAAGACUAAAUAUGUUCGUGUGUGUAUUUGUUCUUUCAUCUUGCAGUAGUUCUCUCUCUCAUUAGCGUGGCAUGGCAAAUCUCUGUGAUAGUCGCGGAGCACUGGGUCAGUCUGUGGCGAAUCACAGUCUCCCUCUCUCUCUCUCUGUCCUCCCUGCUAAAUUCUCCUAUCUAUAAACAUCAGGGGCUGCUAGAAGGAUGGACAUGCUGCAGCAGGUUUAGUACCUGAGUAGGUCAGUUGCUGUCCAGUUGAACUUCACUUGACAUCUAUGAGGUUAUAAGGUCGAGGGGAGGCUAUCCAUCAUUUUUUUGACAGGACAAAGAAAACCUGAUUUCGCGCCUGUUGCUCACAGUAAAUCUGACGAGGAAGAAUUCUUAGAUUCGGUUUCGAAUCUAAGCUUGGAGAAGGGAAUGUUAGUUUUUACAAAUUUAUAGUGUAUAGCUAAUUCUUAAUUUGAAUAUAUUUACAGACACUCCUAUUGUUGUUUAGUUUAUUUUCUUAUGUUCUAUUAUAAAGCAUAAUUAAAUAAACUAUGCAUUUUCUAUCAAAUAAACAGUAUAAUAUUUUUGAGGAGUAAGAGUUAACUGAUUUUCACUGACUCCUAAAACUCAAAAAUUGUCUUGACUCCAACUCCACAGCCCUAAUGUAAACACAUCAACACUGGAUGUGUCAAAUGGUGGUGGGGAUGGACAAACAUAGACACAGACAUGCACACACACACACACACACACACAUGAUGAGCUUCUUUCAGUUUACAUCUGCCACUCAUAAAGCUUUGGUUGGCCCAAGGCUAUAGUAGAAAACACCCAAGGUGCCACACAGUGGGACUGAACCAGGAACUAUGCGGUUGGGAAGCAAACUCUUACCACACAGCCAUGCCUACAACUAUGUUUUUUAUACCACAUGCACUCAGUCACACUCACUCACACUCACUCACUCUGAUGACUACGCUCACUCUGACGAUCACACUCACUCACACUGUAAUAUACUUCCUAUUCUUGCCAACCAGCAUGGUGCUUGACCAGUGAAAAUAGCAACCAAAGACACCUCUCUUAUAGAUCCAGUCCAUUUCAUUGUAACUACUAGUUACCCUAUAAACUGUUUGUUUAGCUUGUAGUUUUGAUUCACCACUGAAGCAAACCUUUUUCAGGGUGUUUAUCUUUCCCCAAAAUAACUGUGCAUCCCUUUUUUAUUCUAUUUUUAUUUUGUCAUUGACUAUUAUUUGUCAAAGAAUGUGACACCAGUUUGCUUUUCUACAAGAUUUCUUUUGUUAAUGUAAACUAUUAUGUUCAUUAUAAAUAAAUCAUCAGUAUUUUGUUAUUAAACUUUAAAUAAAUGUUAUUUGCUUUUUCAAACUAUCUUUUAUACCCCCACCGGUGAUUUUUAAAAAAAUUUUAUUUAUAUAUAUAUUUUUUUUUUAUUUUUAAUUAUUUUGUUAAUAUACACUCAUGUAUGUGUGAGUUAUGUAUUCUUGAAAUAAAUCUGUAACCACACUUUUUUAUUUUUAUUUUGUCUUUACUAAUCAUACUUCCAUGGGAGGAUUAGUAACAGAAGUAAUUGGAUAAUCUGCAAACAGUACUUUUUCUUUUCCUUCUUUCUCAGUUCAAAUCCUGUGGAAAUUGAUGUUUACCAUCCCUUGGGGAUUAAGAUGUUGUUUUAAAACCAUUUUAAUGUUCAAUCAGUUAUAUAUUUCUUCAAAAAUAGAGGUACAUAAUUGAUUUUUUUCCAAGAUUCUUUGGUUCUGAUGCCUUUCCUCAUUUUUUUUUUUCUGAACCAGAAGUGAUCACCUUGGUCAACACAAAUCUUUUAAUCUUUUACAUCAGUCAUUAGACUGCUGCCAUUUUUCAAAAGCUGUAGUCAAAUGAAUUUAUGUUAGUACUUGUUUUUAAGCCUGAUAUUUAUUUUAUCGAUCUCUUUUGCCGGACCACUAAGUAAUGGAUGUAAACACCAACAUUAGUUGUCAAGCAGUGGUGAGGGUGGACACAGACACAAAGACACACAGACGUGAUGGGCUGCUUUCAGUUUCCAGCUACCAAAUCCUUUCAAAGCUUUGGUUGGUCCGAGGUUAUAGUAUAAAACACUUGUCCAAGACACUUCUCUUAUUCAUCCAGUCCAUUUCAUCGUAACUAGUAGAGUUACCCUAUAAACUGUUCCAUUAACUUGUAGUUUUGAUUCACUUUUGGAGCAAGCCAUUUUUAGAGUGUGUAUCUUUCCCCCAAAAAACUGCAUCCCAUUUUUAUUCUAUUUUUAUUUUGACAUUGACUAUUAUUUGUCAAAGAAUUUAACACCAGUUUGCUUUUCUGCUAGAUUUCUUUUAUUACUGCAAACUAUCAUGUUCAUUAUAAAUAAAUCAUCAGUAUUUUGUUAUUGUAUUUUAAAUAAAUGUUCUUUUUAUCUAUAUAUAUUAUGUAUUCUUGAAAUAAAUUGCUUUACAUCUCCAACCAA